GAUGACGCCAUCGCCGCGGGCCCGCCUCCCAGCCGGGACCGGGGUAGACGCGCCAGUCCCGCGCGGCCUGCGGUCUCAGCUCGGUCUCGCUGCCUAGGGAGUUAUUUUUCCUCCCCAUUGUGGAGGAUUUGAGGAAUGCUUCACGGGAUCCUAAACUACCCGUCCCACCUUACAUGGGCAUGAUGCGCCGUUCCUUUUGAGAAGAGAACACCUAUGACGAGUAUGAGAACGACCUGGGCAUCACAGCCAUCGCACUUUAGGACUACCAGGCUGCGCGUGGUGACGAAAUCUCCUUUGACCCUGAUGACAUCAUCAGCAACAUAGAAAUGAUGCAUGAGGAAGGCUGGCAGCGCAGCGUGUGCAGGCGCCUGUACGGGCUCUUCCCGGCCAACUAUGUGGAGAUGUGGCAGUAGGCGGCCCGCCUGCCCUGCGGGCCUGUACAGAAUCACACUUCAGAUCAUGCCUUUGCUGGUUUGGGGUUUUGGGUUUGUAUUUUUUGUUCUGUUUUCUGAGGGUGAGGAGGGAAAUAUACAUAUUGAUUUUAUAUUUAAUACUUCUACUGAUGCUUUUGAAAAUGUUGAUGCCACAGAAUGUGCUAAUAAAUUGUAAUCAUGUUCCCUAGGA